GACGAACGCUGGCGGCGUGCUUAACACAUGCAAGUCGAACGGAAAGGCCCUGCUUUUGUGGGGUGCUCGAGUGGCGAACGGGUGAGUAACACGUGAGUAACCUGCCCUUGACUUUGGGAUAACUUCAGGAAACUGGGGCUAAUACCGGAUAGGAGCUCCUGCUGCAUGGUGGGGGUUGGAAAGUUUCGGCGGUUGGGGAUGGACUCGCGGCUUAUCAGCUUGUUGGUGGGGUAGUGGCUUACCAAGGCUUUGACGGGUAGCCGGCCUGAGAGGGUGACCGGCCACAUGGGGACUGAGAUACGGCCCAGACUCCUACGGGAGGCAGCAGUGGGGAAUAUUGUACAAUGGGCGGAAGCCUGAUGCAGCAACGCCGCGUGCGGGAUGACGGCCUUCGGGUUGUAAACCGCUUUCGCCUGUGACGAAGCGUGAGUGACGGUAAUGGGUAAAGAAGCACCGGCUAACUACGUG
rnacentral:rRNA from 1 species